AAAUGUGGACAUUUGUACCGAACAACUUGCUCAUAGUUAAACUCUUUAGAAUGUCCAGUACGAGCUAUACAUAUGAUGUUCAUACUGGAAGAUUCGGUGACAGACUGAAGCUGGAUCAUCAGACUGGAUCUCUGACCAUCACAAACACAAAAACCACAGAUUCUGGACUUUAUGAAGUGACCACUGGAAGAAACAGACAGAUCAAAUACAGAUUUCAUGUUACUGUCUCCGGAAUCUGAGACGGUGGUGAAGUACACGUGUUUCAGCUCUGAACAAUGAUUAAACUCUCUGUGAUUCUAUUUGUUCACAAAUUAUGCUCUGAUCAGAACAAUUUCAUCUGCCUUUUACACUUUAUUACUGAUUCAAAUAUAAUGUGAUUUUUGUCAUUUAUAUUUCCUCUAAGUGAUCUUCCUCUAAUGAGUUUAUUGUGAUCCUGAAUGAGGAAUACUCUAGAUUAUCAAAGAAUGCUUUAAUUAUUUAGUAUAAAUAUGCUUUUUUCCUCUCUCUCCACAUGUAUCCGGCUGCCGUUUUCUUUUAUUACAUUAUGUCGAGCGCCCCCUGGAGGACUUACUUUAUGUAUAUAAAUUUUCAUCAGAGCACAACAUAUUGAGCUUUACACUAUUAAAACCUUAUUUGUAACUGUAUAGUAUUUUUAAGCUCAUUACUUUUUCAAAUACAAACUUUUUUUUUUAUUUACUCUUAAUUGUCAUUUGUUUACUAUUUUAUGAAUGCAUUGGCUUUUUUUAUUUUUAUUUAUGGAAUCAUAACAUCCCGUUUUUGGACAAUAAUAAUAAAUGUGAAAUGUGUAUUAUUUUUUGUUUAAAAUAAUCAGUGAAUUCGCCGAGUUUGUUGUCCCAUUUCUGGUUUCUCAGAAGCGGAAGUCGUCAUCGAUCGGUAAGCCUCUAUAAUGGUGAAUGGAGUUCACAGCAGAGCUGCGUUCAGCACCGACAAAACAUUGCAAAAUGUUUUUUUUUAAACAGAAAUGGUGGUGCGUUGAACACCCUGUUCUGAUGAGCAAGAGUUUCAACUAUGGCAUCUGAGAAGGCCAUUCUUUGUUUUCUUUUUUAAGAAUUUUCUGAGCCUGAUGAAAUCGCUAUAAAUACGUGUUAAAUACUAGACUAACUGUACUAGACUGAGACUUGUCAUAGCACUUGUAUACCGUUGUUGUUCUCGUUGAUCUGAUUGUUUCUACUGUUCUCAUUUGUAAGUCGCUUUGGAUAAAAGCGUCUGCUAAAUGAUUAAAUGUAAAUGUAAAUGUAAAUACACAAAAUACACUCAUUGUUAAAGUCACUGCCCUUGCCGUCCUGGAUAAAAGACAACAUCCCAAUUGAAUGAAGGGA